UGUACACACCGCCCGUCACACCACGAGAGUUUGUAACACCCGAAGUCGGUGAGGUAACCUUUUAGGAGCCAGCCGCCGAAGGUGGGACAGAUGAUUGGGGUGAAGUCGUAACAAGGUAGCCGUAUCGGAAGGUGCGGCUGGAUCACCUCCUU
rnacentral:rRNA from 1 species